AUGUACGUGGCAUUGGACCCUGUUGAAACUGCAACGCUUGUAAAAGUCGAGUCUGAUCCUCAUCCCAGGCAGGAACACAUUUUUUGCAAUGCUGGUGUCACAGUGGGGGCAGAUGAACCCGCAGUUAUUCGGAAGAAUGGAGCUCCUGAGAUUGAGAUUAAGGUUGAAUCUGACCUGGUUCUGCCAGUUCAGCAGAUUAAAAUUGAGUUGAAAUCUGAGCCUGUUGAAACACUGUGUACCAGUGAUAAAGAUGUGCCUUGCCAGAAGAUAGAGCUGACUGAUAUUUCUAUUAAGGAUGAGCCUGAGUUUCACCCCAUAUCAUCGCAAAUCAAGGAGGAGGCACCCUGUAAUGGAAUCGAAGAUGCACUGUACACAGACUACACUGGGAAGCUAGGCCAUACGCAUGAUGUCUAUAUUAACAAUGAGUCUGAUCUUUAUCCUGAAAUGCAGGGUAAUGUAAGAACUUUAGAACGUUCCCAUUUGGUGUCUACGAUGGAGAGAACAUUGAAUAACCCUUACCCAUACUGCAGGAGAAUUGGUCUAGACCUUGUGAAAUCUAAACUGGGAAUAAAAAAGAAACUUAAUUUGCAAUCAUUGACAGUGGGUGUAAUGCUUGAAAUUUAUGAUUUUGCCAAAGAUGUAUGUGCAUCAUCCCAAGAGAUUGCUGCUAGAGUCAUAGAACAACAUUUUCACCUCGAUUUAGAAAAAAAAAAAUUGCUGUACUCCGAAAAUAUUGGCAACAGAAUAAAGCGGUUUCCGAAACAUAAGGCUCUGAAAGAAAAGUUAUUAAAAGAACCUUAUCAAUUCACCAGUGAGGUACAAAAGCCCUUCCGGAAAAGAGCUGCUCUGCCUAAGGCACCACUUCUGUCAGAGAAUCAAAAAUUUAAAGAAAUCUCUGUAAGAAGGCGAUUAGAUUUAAAGAAGAAGAAAGAGGAAAGGGCCGCCAAGUGGACAAAGGAGGAAAAACAAGCCAAAAAAACGAAUUCAGUGAACUCAGUUCCUGAAAUGCCCACAAUGAUAAGUCUAUGUCCUCAUCAAACGAUAUCUAAAAUGCCAGAUGGUGCGCUGAUGACAAAGCAAAGAACACCAAAUCUUGCACAGUGGUCGUUUAAAGAAGCACAGUUUAGUCCUAAAAAGGUGCUUGCAGACAUACACCCACAGGAGGAAUCUGAUCCAUACUCCAAGCCCACAGAGCAAGCCUUGGACCCAAAAGACAACGAAGUUGACAUGUUAAGGAAAAUUAUCCUGGAUAUAGUCAAGAGUGGUGAAGUUCAUUCGAAAAACAUCUUUAACAAAAUUACUUCAUGUAUUGGUGAUCCAGCUGCCCCAGAGAAGAAAUUCAAGCAUAUCUUAACUGAUUACACAUCAGAGUUUUUGCCACACGUGGUUGAGCAAUAUUAUGCCUAUAGUAAUCCUGAAAAGGUAAUCUUAUCCCUUGUAAAUAAGCUGUUCUGUGGAUUGCAUUUGAUUGAUUGCUUAAUUCAUCAAUCAAAAACUGCUCUUAUACUUUGGGAAUGUAUGAUAUUUGGAGAUAAACUUGGUUUGUCCCUUAGCUUUGGAAUUACAGAAUUGGAGUCUGGAACAGUGCGCUUGGUGAGGUCUGUGUGUGAUUCAUUCCAGGCCAGAGGGUGUGCAAAUGAAGACAGGUAUGUGAAAUUCAAAGGAAUUAUGACCGGCCAAGGAGAAUUUCACAAAGGUCCUUUGGCUUCCUCUAAUGUUAAUAGACUUGACACACUCUGUCUUAAUGCUGCGUGGGUAUACAGUAUCCAUGAUGAUUUAGUGGAGUUUACCACUGAUAACAAAGCAGACAGUUUGUUCAAGGAAGUUGUCGCUGAUUUGAAGGUCCAACAGUUUAAGGCUGGAUGCAGAGCUCUUGGUCUGAUUUCUAAGCUGAUCAUUGAUCCCCUCUCGAGAGCACUGACUGUGAAGGGAAACAUAUUAAAUAUGGAAGCACGAUACCAAACCCUGGUUUCCAAACUCAAGGAAUGGCAUGAAGAUGGCAGACAGUUUGUUGAGGGAAAUGUUUAUUUGUUUGAUGACAUUGAGGUAAUCAACGACCUUGUGUUUCAAAAGCUUACAAUGUGUUCAGACCCAAACCUGUAUGAGUUGACAGUUCAGAUUGUGGAACUGCUCCUUGCUAGUUUUCUCAGGAUUUGUAGCAAAAUGUUGUCUAGUUAUCCUAACUAUUGCAGGCAUAUUCUGGCAACAGAUGAGCUGAGAGAAAAGCUGUGGUCAAUGUCAAAGAAUGCCAGCCUGAAAAGGGAUUUUGGCCUUUUGGAGCAUCUACAAAGGGCUAAAUCUGGAGCCAUUGGUAUUGCCAUAGACUCCAUGGUCAUGUUCAAGAAAAGUCGCAACUGGGACUGGCUUCUAGCUUUGGACAUAGAAAAAAAAAAAUUGUUGCGGAAAACACUUCAGCGGGCAGUUCAACAUCAAAAAGUGUUGUCAAUGGAGGGCUUGCUUGUCCAGAAUGUGAAAGGCAAUCUCAUAAAAUCAGUUGUGAAGCAUGGUUGUGCUGCCCGUGAGGAGAAACUAACUGAACAGAACUUUGUGGAAAUGACAGUACAAUCAGAGGAGAUGGAUGCUAUUUUUGAUGGUGAAGAAGCCAAACCUCAACAAUCUACCCUGCAGUUUGAAAGCAGAAUAACCAUAAAGUCAGAAGAGAUGGAGAGUGACAGAACCAAACUGCAACUUAGCAAAAUAAGUGUGAAGUCUGAAGAGACAGAACGUGAGGAAACCAGACCAAAACAAAUGACAGUGAAGUCAGAGGAGAUGGAGGGUGAAGUACCCAGCCCUAACUUAUCAGGCCUGCACGUCAGAGCUCACCAAUCAUUCCAAUUGCGUGAAGGAAGAGUCUUGCUGAAGAGGCUCGCAGAUAAACCGAAAGCUCUGACGAACACCCCGGGUGAACAAUAUGCCUUGAUGAAACAUGAUUUGAUCAGGGAGUUGGAGAAGUGUGGCAGUUUGUGGGAGAAAGAGGUGGAUAUGGAUGAACACUUGGCCAUAUUGGAUGAAGAUGGAAGAUAUUCGGCAGUGAUCUGCCAAAUUCGGUUCUGGAAGUAUGUCCUAUGUAUGAAAGAUAAAAAAGGGCUUCUCAACAAUUCAGUUGGUGGCAGAAAGUGUAGCUUUGAAGAACUUGUGACAAAUUUGAGAAUGUUCAUCUUGGAAAACAGCACCUCUGAAGAAUUCAAAGCUCUGAAUCUGAAGCAAAAAGUUGAGACCCCUGAGACAUUUACACUGUGAUUCAUUCAGAAAGCUGGUGGAAGUGACAGAUGAUACUGUGGGCAGUGUUUCGAAGUGAGGCACAAGUGUGGUUAGAGAUGCAGGUCCACUAUAGGUCAAUGCACAGUGAAAACAAAAACCAAUCACUGAAUUGGAUUAACACAAAAGGGGUGGCUGAUCUCUAGAAAACAGCCCUUGCAAAUUACACCGCGAAUAAGGGAACUGAAACAUUAAUAUACAUUUUAAACUUGCUUCACAAAUUCUUUGUAUUCUCACUGCCACUAGAAAAACAAAUCAUUAUGUCUCUUCAGAAGUUUUAUGAAUUUUGACUGUUAGCUAUAUUUGCAAUAUACAUUGGCUUUUUGUAUCAAUAGAAUAUUAAAAUUUAGGGCUUUUUGUGAAGUUCCUUUUUGGUAGAAUUUUUUUUUUGGGGGGGAGUCGUUUGUGGGUAUGGUGAACUAAACCUCACUGCUUUCUCAAUAAAAAGUUUCACACUUAGGGAUAUUUGGUGUUCUAGGAAAAAGAACCAUGUGAAGUCACUACAGAAAUUAAGAACAGGAAUACCUAUGUGAUAUUACCUAAGUGGUGGACAGCCCAAUUUCUCUUGUUCUUUUUUUUUGUUGCUUUUUAUGGACUUGAACUUUUCCUCGUGGCAGUUAAUUCCUGGGCAGUAGCCAAGCUUGAGAUCAAAUGUCUCACAUCAGAGCAAGAAAUUGAUUGUUUUUUUUUUAAUCUUUUUUUGAAGAUGAUACUUUUAAUGUUUUUAAAGUUUACUGCUGAAUUGUUUGGAGGAAUUAAAGCGAAAAGGAGAACUCCAUUAAGGAGCUCUCCCACUGAUUCUCAAUUGGAUGCUGAAUACCAAAAAAAGGUGACUUGUCUGGGUGAUUGGUGUGGUCUUGCGUCAAGUCAUUGAUUCUGCCGUUCGCCGACACCUCCGGUUGGUGAAAAUGCAUUCCUCUUCCUCUUGAGUUGCAGUCCGGUCAUUUUAGGAAUACCUGGUCCUGUUCCUGCUGCACAUGAAAAGAACCUCCACAGCUGUACGUCUGGCCUGGGUGAAGAUCUUUGGCAUGUGCCUUUGGGGUUUUGGACCAACCGGGACGUGUGGAAACCUUGGUGCCAUGGCCGGCGGUCUACCAUGAGACCGACGCGCCGACCUGAAUGUUUGUGUGUCUGUAUACUCACAGGGUGGACUGAUGCUUCUGAGACCUGUCCCGCGUCCCACAGCAGAACCAUGGCCAGGUGGGUUGUUGUCGGACAAGAGAGACUGAUCUAUGAGUCGGGUUCACAGCAUCCGCUAGGCAUAUCGGCCUCUCAUAUUGGCGCUUUAGUCCUACUUGCACAACCUACAUUAAUUAAGUCCUACCUCGUUUGUUUACAUUUGAGAGGAAACAUUCUCUGUAAAUAUAUUUUUUUUUCUGUGUAUAUGGUCUGUUAACAGUUUUUUGUUGUGUUUACUUGGCUGGUUAUCGAAAGGAUACAAAAAAAAUAUAUUACACUUUACUUUAGACCAAUUUGAGAAUUCCAUUUGUUGGAUAAUUUUCUGUUUGUAAAUAAUUAUAUGGUUAGAAUUGCUUAGAAAAACUGAAUGACUAUCAAUGUUGUUACUACUGCAGUUCUUUUAACUUGCCAUGUGGGGUCAGCAUUGUUUCAACUUCUCUGUAAGUGGACCAGCAGUUGGCAGCUUAAAGUGUUCUGAAGAACAGCACCUUGUACACGCAGUGAGCAAAGAAACUCACAGUUCCACCAACAUCUUCACAGACAUGUUACAUGUAGCUUGAAAAUCAACUGUCUAUCCAACUUCGCUUCUAAUUCACUCAAUUGAGACUGUUUACAUUUUGUUUUACUUUUAGCCCUUCCGUCCUCAAAUAAAAACGUUUAUGAAGA